rnacentral:rRNA from 1 species
UACGUAGGGUGCAAGCGUUAAUCGGAAUUACUGGGCGUAAAGCGUGCGCAGGCGGUUUUGUAAGUCUGACGUGAAAUCCCCGGGCUCAACCUGGGAAUUGCGUUGGAGACUGCAAGGCUGGAGUCUGGCAGAGGGGGGUAGAAUUCCACGUGUAGCAGUGAAAUGCGUAGAGAUGUGGAGGAACACCGAUGGCGAAGGCAGCCCCCUGGGUCAAGACUGACGCUCAUGCACGAAAGCGUGGGGAGCAAGCAGG